AACGUAACGAGCCGAAGCAACUUUACUUUUUUUUUUUACUUUUCCAAAGUAACGUCCCCGGUUCUGAUCCGGGUCCUGCACGUGGGUUGGGAAAGCUGAGGAUGCCCGGAGGCGCCGCAGAUGGAGGCGUUUUCUUGGAACGUAACGAGCUGAAGCAACUUUACUUUUUUUUCACUUUUCCAAAGUAACGUCCCCAGCUCUGAUCCGGGCCCCUGCACUUGGGUUGGGAAAGCUGAGGAUGCCCGGGGGGAGCCGCGGCCGCUCGGAGCGGCUUUCCCUCCGACCGGGCGCUGCAGCGUCUAAGCGGACCCUAAAGCGCCUGCCGUCUGAGGCCAGCCCAGCCUAACCAGCCAGCCAGCCAGCUUGCCUGCCUGCCUCUGCGCGCCCUGCUGGGACUCACAUCCGGGGUUGGGUUGGGCUAAGGGAGAAACGUAACGAACCCGGAAAAAAAAAAAAGAAAAGAGGGAGCGAGCGGAGCGCUGCGCGCAGCGAGCUUGGCGCGGUCUCCAUCCCGCAGCAGCCCCGAGGGCGAUGUUCCAGGCCAGCCGCCGGACCACCCUUCGCCACCGGCCCGAGGAGAGGCCGCGAGGGG
rnacentral:lncRNA from 1 species